UACAGAGGGUGCAAGCGUUGUUCGGAAUUAUUGGGCGGAAAGCGCGUGUAGGCGGCUUGGCAAGUCGGGUGUGAAAUCCCUCAGCUUAACUGAGGAAGUGCGCCCGAAACUGCCGAGCUUGAGUACCGGAGAGGGUGGCGGAAUUCCCCAAGUAGAGGUGAAAUUCGUAGAUAUGGGGAGGAACACCGGUGGCGAAGGCGGCCACCUGGACGGAUACUGACGCUGAGACGCGAAAGCGUGGGGAGCAAACAGG
rnacentral:rRNA from 1 species